AAUUACAUCCCUGUUUUUAUCCUGGUCCCACAUCAUCAGUCAUAUGAACUCAAGGUACAUUACGUUUUUCACAGUUAAAUACAACUUCAAAGAUGAGUGAGUGGACAGAUAAUUUCAACUCGCAUCAUUAUUGGACAUGAUAUUGAUGGAACUAAACACUACAUAUAAAUAAUGCACUGUUUUAAAUGUAAAACUAAUGUAUAAAUAUCCUUAAAGAAACAAACAAGACAAGAUAAGGUAGGGCACCUAAAUGCACAAGACUUUCAGCAUUGGCUCUAGAGAUGGUCAAAUGUACACAUGCCUUCCCUAACUUGCAAAGAAAGAGGUGUUUAUGUGGUUGAAGCUAUGACCUCUCAAAUCACAAUAUGUUUUUCCACAAAGAAGAAAAUAAAAAGGCAACAACUGCAUGAUAAUCAACAAUAAGGCCAAAAUUUGGGCACUUACAUAGGCACCAUCAGUGCAGUUGU
rnacentral:misc_RNA from 1 species